UUUUUUUGCAAUUUACUCGAAGUUUUGAGCGUGUACGAGUCAAACGGAUCUCAGAAUCGGAUUCAGCGGGUCGAAUUACAUGUUGGUAGGUGGGUCUGGUUAAAACACACAUACCUCUUUUUUGUGCCGGUGUUACUAUUAUUGCACUUAAAAGGUGUUCGUAAGAGCUGCAAAGCAUUCAAAGCGCAGUUUUCUAAUCUUGACCUGAAGUUGGUACAUACAAAACCUACUGAUGAAAAACAUA